rnacentral:rRNA from 1 species
AUGAACGCUGGCGGCGUGCCUAAUACAUGCAAGUCGAGCGAACGGACGAGAAGCUUGCUUCUCUGAUGUUAGCGGCGGACGGGUGAGUAACACGUGGAUAACCUACCUAUAAGACUGGGAUAACUUCGGGAAACCGUAGCUAAUACCGGAUAAUAUUUUGAACCGCAUGGUUCAAAAGUGAAAGACGGUCUUGCUGUCACUUAUAGAUGGAUCCGCGCUGCAUUAGCUAGUUGGUAAGGUAACGGCUUACCAAGGCAACGAUGCAUAGCCGACCUGAGAGGGGGAGGGGCCACACGGGAGCGGAGAGGCGGGCGAGAGGGCGGCGGGAGGCAGCGGGAGGGAAGCGGGCGCAAUGGGCGAGAGCGGGACGGAGCGAGGGGGCGGGGGGGAGGGGGGUGGGGGGGGGGGGGGGGGGGGGGGGGGGGGGGGGGGGGGGGGGGGGGUAACUGUGCACAUCUUGACGGUACCUAAUCAGAAAGCCACGGCCAACUACGUG